rnacentral:misc_RNA from 1 species
ACCUGAGCUUUCCAUCACUAGGACAGGGCAGUAUUGUACCACCAGAGCUGCAGAGAACCUUGGUAGACAAGCUAUCAGAGGCCAUUUAGAAGAUAAAACCAUCUACAAAUUCUCUACUUUCAUAUUCUGAUGAAGUUUGUGGCACUGAAUGGACUGAACCAUAGUUGCUUCUCUCAUUAUUCGAAGAGAAGUUUGUUCCCUCAAUUUUGUUUUGACCUUUCUCUGCUAAAGGAAGCAUUGAAAAAUCUGACCCACUUUCAGACCCUGU